CUGCGCCAGGGGCGGGGCCUGUGCCCCGAUGAUUGGCGUGGAGUGCAGAGCUCUUCCCAGGCUAAUGACCGGCGGGUAGCUCUCCUCUGAGAGUGCCGAAGGUGACAGCGGUGUCACAGAAAUAAAGGCAACAUGGGGCCGGACAGACUUGGGUUUGAGCUUUGGCUCUCAUUUUCUGGACAGUCCUUUCUGUGCCUCAGUUUUCUUCUAAAAACGAAUCAUCCUUGCCUGAUGGCAUUGUCAAAGAGGAAGACAUAAAAAUGAUGCAACGUGUCCAGCCAGCGCCUGGCGCUUGGGAGACAUUUUCGAAGGACCCCUCGCCUCUCCUAGACCACAAACUAUCUGGAGCUGAGCCAGUGAACAAUCCAUCAUCCGGAGACCCUCUUGUGCCCUGGCUUCCUGGCUGUGCCAUGACGCACAGCUAGAUGGUGCUAUGCCCAAGGCCCCAUUCUGGAGCUCUAGGACUAAUGUAAAGUUUGCCUUCUUCCCCUAAGAAGUUAUCGGUGCUGACCCCAUCUUGCCUCAUAUCCGUUUUCCUCAGUGACCACCAGAAGGCCAAAUCCCAGCCUCUGCAGUGAUUCACUAUCACCCUGACACAUCGUCCCCAUCCUGCUCUUUACGUAUCUGAUAUGGACAUCCCACGUUUUGCCUGUCCAGUACCCUGCCCUCCUUCUUUCGAUGACUGCAUUGCUGUUUACCUUUGAAGAACCAUUCCCUUACUUGCCAACAUGCGGUUCUGGUGAGUUCUGUCCACCGUAAGUGGGCAGCGGACCCAGGCCUGGCCAAUCAGAGAUGCCUCCACACUAGCUACAGUGGACGGUUAGGGUCGGGAUUUCACUGGUGUGAUAAGGGAAGAGGCGGUGGCUGAAGACUGGUCUACCUGUUGGACAGCCAUCCACUGCUCUGUGGGGAGAAGCUGCCUGAGAACAGAGCCAACGCAGAGGAGAGCACCCUGGGGACAUGUUUGGGUCCCCGAUGCCUCUGAGACGAAAGCCAGCAGUCCCACUGGCCUUCAGGCAUGGUGACAGCAGAAUUCUGCCCCCCCCACAGCUGUGUCUGCACCCUGUCCGUUUCCGUGUAGCUGAGUGGCCCGCCCAGCUGGAGCUCCGUGUGCCUGCCGUCCUCCCGAGCGCUUUGCUGGAGGAGCCAUUUCUAGGAGGAGAAGUCACGUCGAGUGUGGGCCCUGGCCUGGAUUAUGCCCCUCCGGUCACAGGGGAAGCCAGGUGGACGGCAACUGUCUAUAAAGGGUCACCUACCGCUCAGGCCGUGAGUGGAAACACGGAGGGGAGGCCCCACUCAUUCUGGUGAUGUGGUGGGGCUCCCAGGAUCCCUGUGGGUGGACGAGCCGAAGGUCUUCUGUGCACCAGGAAUGGGAGUCACUUCGAUUCCCCCCUGCCUCGCAUUCUCCGCCCACCAGAAUCAGCGGAAUUUCCUGCAGGCCGGCAGUGCUCCCUGACUUCAGGAGCGGUGGCAAGGGACUGGUUUUCUUGUGCUUUCCCAACAUCUCCCCAUGACAUUUUCGCUGUUUCCCCACCUCCCAUAGUGACCCUGCGCUUGUCCCUACCGUAAUCACACAAUAAUAAGAACCACAACAAAAAUCAACUCCUAUCUACUGAGCAUAUCAGCCUUAGUAAAUCUUCAAGCCAUGCGGAGUAGGUAUGGUCACCGCCAUCUUAUAGUUGAAGAUAUGGAGACUUAGAGAAGUCAAGAAACUUGACCAAGGUCACCCAGCUGGUAAGUGGCUGUGCAGAACCAUGUGGACCUGCUUCACAGUCUGGAUCACUCUUGGCAAUUUCUCCCCAACUCAAUACACCAAUCCUGUGUUCCAUCAAUUAGGUCCACCAACCGAUACGUGUCUACAGAUUCCAACCGCCCCUACCCCCAACCCACCUAUGGGCCUGGGCACCCGGAGGGACUCAAAAAGCAGGAAGCCAUAGCCCCUGCCCCUGCGUUCCAGAGGAGCUGGCUAAGGAGACAAGGCAAAGACCAGAAAUUCACAUCCAACCUCUUUGCCACCUUUGCCAAGUCACUUCCUCUCUCGGGGCCUCAGUUUUCUUCUCUGCAAAAUGAACUGGUUGUACUAGGAGAUCCCAAGUACAAAAUCCUACUUAUCUGUGAUCAACUAAGCACAGCCCACCUAAUGAGAAGGUGGGGAUACUGGGGCCCAGGGAUUAGGACUGUCCCCAGGAAAAUAGCUAGAGCAAAGCCAGAAAAGAAAACCAUGAGAUUUGAUCCUUAGAAGAAAACUGCCUGGUUACUAAGAAUAGGACUAACACCCAAGAAUGAACCCAGUGGAGGCCCUGUAUAGGGAGGAGGCUCACUGCUUCCGGGUGCUUCUGUAGCCGACAAAGACCAGAGAGCUUCAUGCUGAUGUGGGUUUCCCCUUAGUUCUUGGGCACUGACGGAAAAGUAAGCUGCUUGCUUCCAAUCCUUUUGCUUCUACCUGUACUACAGGGUGUCCUGAGAGCAGUCAGCCUCGAGAUCUGUCAUUUAGAAGCCAUUUUCCUUAGAAGGGAGGGGCCCAGUUGGCAGGCUGCCUUCCUUGCGAGGCAUCUGGGUAUAAAUGUCCACGGCUCGCGGUGUGUCCUAGACAAGGAAGUGUUGGCAUUGGUUAUGGAGGAAGGGGAUAAGUGGCUUGUUGACAGAUUUUGUUGCAAAGUUUCUUUCUUAGUUGUGUUGCCUGUUUUUCCCAUGCUGACAUGGAAGGCACAUUUUGAACCUGGGUGACAGUUGUUGCCCCUCCUGACCAUAUCUUGUAACAACGGGGUAUGAGGCCACUUUAGAUUUGUGGGCGAGAACGCCAUUUAUAUGACACUGUGCACACAUUUUCUCAAUCUGUAUGUAAAUUAUUAUUGGUAUAUAAUUAGAGCGAGGUGGGAUACUCUUCAUAAUGCUCGUCUGACAGGUGGGGACACUGAAAUUCAAGGAACUGAUGUGCUUAAAUCAUCCAGUGUGAUAUCCAGGGCAAGGUGGGCUCAAAUGGUCUUUUCUAUCUUCUCAGAGCCUGCGAACCCACGCUCUCUCAUAUUUCUUUUUUCUUCUCAUUCAUCCCUUUGCCCCCUUUAUACCCAGAGCUCUUCUAUACAUGGACUUCACUCACCCCUCCAACUAAUGACAUGGAAAGCCAUUGCUUUCUAUGCCCUCACUGGGCUCUCAGUUUAGGAGAGAGACGAUCAGAGGGGAGGCUUACCUCGCUUUGUCUAUUAUAAUCAUAUGAAUCUGUAUUUGCGAGGUGCUUUUAAUUUUUAGAAAUUAAAAAAAAAAAUCACAGGCGUAAUUUCAUCACUGAGGAUAUGGUAGGAAGGCCCAACAGGGUUUAAAAGGGAGGGCAGCUAUUUCCCAAACACCUCCUCUGCCAGGUACUUAACGUACAGUAACUCAUUUCUCUUCCGGGACAGCCCUGCCUGGGAGCUGUGGUUACUCCUCAGAUUGGUUAAGCAACUUGCCCAAGGUCACCUGGUUAGUAAGUCAGGUCCAGGAUUUCAGAGCAGACCCAUCUGUUCCCCAGCUACCCUUCUGUGGCCGUGGCAGAUCUCCCCACUGCCAAUCCAGCACCACCUCUGAUUCCAGGACGUGGGGCUCAGAUGUCAUAUGGCUCCACGGUUUGAAGUGUAUCCAUCUCACUGUAAAUGCCCUGAGAACAAGGCCACCCCAAAAGCUGUCCGUGUCCCAAUCUCUGGGACUUUAUAUGGUAACAGGGACUUGCAAGAGUGAUGGAUAAAGGGCCCUGAGGUGGGGAGAUCAGUCUGACUUAUCCAGGUGGACCCUUGUAAUCCCAAGGUCCUUCCAGGGGGAGGUGAGAAGGUAGACGAGGAAGGAGGAGAGGUGAGGGGGGAAGCAAGAGGGUGAAGUGAGGGGAAGGGGCUAGGAGACAAAGGAACACGGGUCACCUGCAGAAGCUAGAAAAAGCAAGGAAACAUUCACCCCGAAAGCCUCCAGAAGGACCCCUCCAGGUCGACACCUUGUCCAGUGAAACUGACUUCAGACUUCUGGCCUCCAGAACUCCAGUAAGACACUGUUUGUUCUUUUAAGCUUCCAUUUUGUGGUCCUUUGUUAGAGCAUCCAGAGGAAACUGAUACAAGUACCUCUUACCCACUUAAGAGAAUACCUAAAGCCUUUAAAAAGUGUCCUUUUAUAUGUAAAUGAUCUACAGCAAUUCAUUGUAUGCCAAAGCCAAGACUGGCUCUUGGAUAUUUGAAUUAAAAAUCAUUAAAAAACA